CGCGAUUCCCAUCUGAGGCUGGACCAGUCCUUUCCUUGUAAGUGAGGACUAGGAUCUUCAUUAAGAUUCCAUCUUACUAAAUUAUCAUCACAGCCCAGUCCUGACUUCUGGAGGAAAUAUCCGGACUUUCUCGAUAAAGUUUGGACUACUUACAAUCUCUUUGGUCAUCAUUUCUACACCAACCCAGUUUUUUCUCCAUUCUGGGCCCAGAGGAAUUGAGUCCUGUUCUGAAGCUUUUUGAGAGCUCAAAGUUCAGCAUCAUUAGUGAAUCUUAGCUGCUGACUGUCUACACAGCAAAUGCUUUAGAGAAUUAUUCUGUUGAAACAAUAAUGAUUUUCAUAGACUGCAAUCUCAGUUGAAUAUGUUUUCUCUGUAAUGUGAACGAAUACCCAGCACUUGUCAACAAAACUGCAUAGACCUUGAAAGAAAACCCUUUAAAUUGAACAGCUUGGACACUAGGUUGAGCAGGAGAAACCUUAACAACAGUAAAUAUUCGUUCACCUUCUGGAAGAUUCAACCACUGAUACACACAGAGCUGCUGCUG